GUUGUUUUAAUAGAACACUGGAUAUCUUAAGAUUACGUGACAACUCUGUUCCCACAUUAUUUUUGACACCCAAAGAAGGCCCCCAGGAGUCGUUGAAUAGCUUGAAAACGAUUGUAAAUUAUUGUAUUUUUUUUAAGACAGUAUCUACUUAUGGCGUUUCUUGCGGAUUCUUCUUCAUAAGACCGAAUCUUUGGCACCCUGCAA
rnacentral:lncRNA from 1 species